CAACUUUAUCUGAUGAAGUAAGUGUUAGUUGAUGUUAUAAGCCCUGUACAGUACUGAACAAACCUUAAGACUCAUUAGACAUGGUGGAGGCCCCCCAGUGUGAAUCCAUAACUGUCUGAUCGAAGGUCAUUCGGACUGAGAGCCCGGCACCUCUGUGACGGACAGGCCACACACAGACAAGCAUGCUGCGUUGGAGAAAAAUUUGAAAAACCUCAUGCGCAGAUACAGUUGCUGACUGCGGCUCCGGCGGGACUGGAAUGCAAGCCAUUGUUCCGAGAGCCAUUUAACAACAAUGGGGAGAUCCAGGACAGUUUGCAGCACAAUGCCUCCACGCUGCUCCGUGCAGAAAGCCUCUCUGCCGCUCGCUGCUGCGGCACCCUGCUGGGCUCGGUGAACUGCUUGGGAAACGGGUCGCUUGUGCAGCUCAUCCAUUAAAGACGUUUUCCAACAAUUACUCUGAUGGCACUCAUGUUAUGACGGCACCACUGAAGCACCACCCAAGCAGACUUUUCUGUUAGAUUUGUGCUGAGAGUUUGGAAAGUUUAAUCUGUUGCAGGGAAUCUGCACCAGAUGUCUUUAAUUAUUAUGUAUUAAAGAAUUAUCUCCUUUGAAGAGCACAUGUCUCCUCACAUACAUGAACGCUAAAUUUUCCAGAUAAAAGGUUUUUGUCACAAGCUUUCUAUAUUACUGUAGAGACUCUCACAUAAAUUAAGCUGUAUGCUAAACCUACUCUUGACAUAUUUGGCUUUAAAGCACUAAUAAAUCAAAGUGUGUAA